CGCAAAAUGUAUCGACUAUUGAUAAUCUUCCCCUAAUUUGUUCCUUGCACGAUAAUCCAACGACCCAUAAUUAUAAUUUACAUUCAGAGACACUAUAUCAAUCCGCCUUCUAUGACACUUGAUGUUGUAUACUGACAGAUCUAUUCAACAAUAGUAUCGGAAAAUAUUGAUUAUUCUUUAUGUUUUCAUCCAAACAUCUCAUCUGAUUCAAAAUAUCGACUAGUUUUGUGUAGUCGUAUUGAAUAGUUUUAGUUCCUUAGUCUCAAAUAUAUAAAUAUCUCUACUUGGAAGAUUAACAUUUUUCAUCUUCAAAUUUUCUUGAAGCUGACCUGCUUUCUUGACUGUUGUAGUAUUAAUGGCCCUUGAAAAAGGAAUAGGGAGACGACUUGUUGGAUGCAUGAGAAAGGCUUUGGAAAUUUUGGUCCAGUGUUGGAGUCGCCGUAAGGUUUGAUUCUUUGAAAUAUUAGAUUUGAAAUUGUCUAUAUUUUUAGACCAAGAGUAAAUAUUUCUCUAGAUAUUAAAAUUUGUAGAGGACGUGACGCUACUUUUCUUCUUGAAAUGAACCCUAAUUUAUUGCUUCAAAAUUUCCAUUGUAGAGCUACCUGUUUUAAGCAAUCGUGUUGAAAUAUAGGUAUUGUAAUAUUAGUAAGAACAUGCAGUCAAAUAAUAAUUAAAAAAAAUCCGAAUUUGGGAGAAAAUUGAAGGUAAAAGUUUAUUGCAAAGGAAGGAAUACAAAUAAUAUUGUGCAGCCUACUAUUUCAGAUUUUUCUCCCCCUUUUUAGUCUAAUUAUGACAAGUUUAUGCAAG
rnacentral:lncRNA from 1 species